AUUGAACGCUGGCGGCAGGCCUAACACAUGCAAGUCGAACGGUAACAGGAAGAAGCUUGCUUCUUUGCUGACGAGUGGCGGACGGGUGAGUAAUGUCUGGGAAACUGCCUGAUGGAGGGGGAUAACUACUGGAAACGGUAGCUAAUACCGCAUAACGUCGCAAGACCAAAAAGGGGGACCUUCGGGCCUCUUGCCAUCGGAUGUGCCCAGAUGGGAUUAGCUAGUAGGUGGGGUAACGGCUCACCUAGGCGACGACCCCUAGCUGGUCUGAGAGGAUGACCAGCCACACUGGAACUGAGACACGGUCCAGACUCCUACGGGAGGCAGCAGUGGGGAAUAUUGCACAAUGGGCGCAAGCCUGAUGCAGCCAUGCCGCGUGUAUGAAGAAGGCCUUCGGGUUGUAAAGUACUUUCAGCGGGGAGGAAGGGAGUAAAGUUAAUACCUUUGCUCAUUGACGUUACCCGCAGAAGAAGCACCGGCUAACUCCGUG
rnacentral:rRNA from 1 species